rnacentral:misc_RNA from 1 species
AAAUGUUUAUUCAAGUUAUACAAGGAUCCAUCUUUCACUUAAAUGAAGAUCUUCUUGGUAACCGUUAUCAGCUGGAAAUAUUAGAGAAUGCUCUAGUAGAAAUAUUUAUUAAACCUAUACCUAAUUCAGGUGGCAAUGUAUGUAAUAUACCUAUAGAAGUACUAGUAUUUCAAGACAAUAAAAGCAAACCGUUUAUCUCUUCUACACCUUUUAUAAAUUCUGAAGGCUUUUGUACAAUGCAGUUUAAUUUGAGAAAAGGGAAAUAUGUAGUAAUUCCUGUGCUUUUAAAGUGGGAUAAAGUCAAAAGUACAACUUCUAGUGAAAGUUUAGAUUUUGAAUCUUUGUUGAAUAUUGAUGAAAAGAAACAAGCUGCAUUAACACCUGAUUGUGAAAGAGCAUUAAAAGAAAUAUAUGAUUUGAUUGAUCUUGAUGGAAAUGGUCUUCUUAGUCAAACUGAAUUUGACUUAUUCAUUCAGCAUACAUCUGGAGAAACUGCUGCUGAUGAGUGGUCUACAAUUGAAGAUAAUUUUAAAAUGGAAGAUGGGCAGCUAACAUUUGAAGGUUUCUUGGAAUUGUACACAAUGGUUAUUCAAACUGAUCCUGCUGAUGUAAAAAAUAUGUUUGAACAAAUGGGAAUGAAUGAGUCUUUGGAACUUGCAAAUGCUCAGCCAUUUGUGUUAGUAGCUAAAUCUAAAACAACAAAAUUUGUUUUGAGACCAUUAUGUGUGACCUCCUACUGUAACAUUGCUGAGAAAGUUUUGCGGAAAAUGGCAGUUGAGCAAGGCAAUUCUCAUAAAGUGAAAAAGAUGAAUGAUUUAUUACUAUACACUCACAAGCUACAGCACAGAGUCACAAUAGUUAUUCAAAACCAGAGGAAUUUAUUUUCAUGUAGUCACACAGUAAAGUCACAGUGAGAUUAGACUGUAACAAAAGUCAAAAUUGUCAGAGUCAUCAGAAUAGUCUUGAUUGUUACUUUGAGGUUCCACCAAGAACAAGCAUGCUUGGACAUCAUUUGUAUCCGGUUGAUCCAGAACUAACCUGGAGUGUUGAAUGUACAGAAUCUCUAAAAUAAAGAGAGUAACACUUUAGUAAUUUUAACUAAAAUUUGAAGUAUUUUAGGGAAAUAGAUUAAGAAAUACAAGAAUAGUAAUGCAUUACACAUUUGAUUUCAUAAAUGCAGACAUCUGCACUGUGGUUAAAAAAGAUAGUUCUAUUUAAACUCUUUAUUCAUUAAAUAUUUACCUUAAAUAUGUAUUUCCAAUUGAAAAAUUUUGCAACAUAGAGAAAUUUAUAUAUAUAUAUAUAUAUAUAUAUAAAGUUUCAAAAUUGUAAUGAGAAAGUGCCCUAUCAAUAUAAAAUUUUUAAUAUGGUCUUAACAUAGCCAAAAUAUCGGUAAAAUAUUUAUUAUGCACCGAUGCAAUUAAUACAGUAUGUACAAUAACUUUACAUACACUAUUUAUGAACUAUAAGAAGAAUGUUAUAUUUUUGGAGGAUAAAAUUCAGUAUUUGUCGCCUAAUUUAGGAAGCAACUAUAAAACAAAUUCUUUCCUUUGGCAGUUAAUUGCUCUUUAUUAGGUGAUCAGAACUUUCUUUUAAAUUUAUAAUUGGUCUCAUGAAAAUAUUAGUUACAUAGAUCUUUGCAAAUUUUGCACACAAAGCCAUAGAAAUUCUCUUUAGUUUACUUAUUAAAAGUAAUACAACUAACAUAAUAAAUACCUUACAUGAUUUUUCUUUCAUAAAGAACAAAUAAAAAAAAUGGUUUAGUAUUUUCCAUGUAUAAAACUUCCUACACAAUAGUGAAACUGUUUUUAUAAAUUUUUUUAACCUUAUUUUACAAAACUUUGCUACUGAGGUACAAACCAAGAAUCAGUAUUAAAGCAUAAAAAAAUUUUCAGACAUGUUUUUAACAUCCUAUGUAAAUAUUUCAAGACUUACUUUAAAACUUCAUAUGGUAAUUUAUUAAUAAUAGAACUGAUAUUGCUCUAGCCCAAGGGUUCUCACCUUUCUUGCCUUAUGCACUCCUGGCAAUGGUGAAUCAUUGCUAGAAGAUUAUUUCUCCCCUACUUUCCAAAACUUGAAAAUAAAUAUAUAUAUAUUUAUCUAGAUUCUGAAGAUUUUUUUAAUGUGUUUCAUAAAUUAAACAACAAAGAGUGUAGAAAAGGUUAAUAAAUACCAAAACAUGAACAAAAGUACCUAGUUAGUUAUAGUCAUAAAUUAAAACCAAAUAUUUAAAAGAUAAGAUAAAGACUGACUGCAUUUCUUCCUAAAACUAUCGCCACCCCCCCCCCUGUUGAGAACCCUUGUUGUAGACUUUCAUAUAAUAGCAAAAUUAUUUUUAAUUCGUUUUAAUUCAUUUUAAGCUCAGAAAACUUUCUAUAUUACACUAUAAAAUAUUUUUAUAGUAUAAUUCUAAAAUAGCAUACAGUUAACUAGAUAACUUUGUUAUUAAGUUAGAGUUAUUAAAAAUUAUAUAUGAAAGCUAUGUUAAAAAUUUUAAGUUUAGCAUGCUAUUAGACUAUCAGUUAUUAGAAUAGAAUUGAAACUACAUAUUUCUGUGGCACAUAAAUAUAUGAAAAGUGUUCAGUUUGUACUGAACGCUUUUCAUAUAAGGUACUGAACACUUUUCAUAUAUUAACCUCUUUGUUGUCUAAUAUGAUUAUACAAAUUAUCAUAUUUAAUAUAUAAAAAGCAUUCAAUAAAAACUGUUAAAAGAAAA